CAUAGGCCUGUCUCUUAUACACAUCUAGAGUAGCGAAAGCGAGUCUUCAUAGGGCGAUUGUCACUGCUUAUGGACCCGAACCUGGGUGAUCUAUCCAUGACCAGGAUGAAGCUUGGAUGAAACUAAGCAGAGGUCCGAACCGACUGAUGUUGAAGAAUCAGCGGGCCUCGGCCAGCCCUGCCUGGACCGGAUGCAUCAGG
rnacentral:ncRNA from 1 species